rnacentral:rRNA from 1 species
AGGCGUAGUCGAUGGACAACAGGUUAAUAUUCCUGUACUACCGUUAUUUCGUUAUUAGCGAUGGGGUGACGCAGUAGGAUAGGUCAGCCACUUAUUGGAUUGUGGUUUAAACUUGUAGGUAGGAGAGAUAGGCAAAUCCGUCUUUCCGUUAAUCUGAGAAGUGAAUACGACCUGCUUGCAGGGAAGUGAUUGACUCCACACUGACAAGAAAACCCUCUAGUGAGAAAUAAAGGUAACCGUACUAAAACCGACACAGGUAGGCAGGUAGAGAAUACUAAGGCGCGCGGGAUAACUCUCGUUAAGGAACUCGGCAAAUUAGCCUCGUAACUUCGGGAUAAGAGGUGCCUAUAUAAUGUGAACACCCUGCGGUGGGAGCAUAAAUAGGUUGCAGUGAAAUGGCUCAAGCGACUGUUUAUCAAAAACACAGGUCUCUGCUAAACCGUAAGGUGAUGUAUAGGGGCUGACGCCUGCCCAGUGCUGGAAGGUUAAUGGGAGAUGUCAAUUCCUCGGAAUGAAGCAUUGAACUGAAGCCCCAGUGAACGGCGGCCGUAACUAUAACGGUCCUAAGGUAGCGAAAUUCCUUGUCGGGUAAGUUCCGACCCGCACGAAAGGCGUAACGAAUUGAGCACUGUCUCAACGAGAGACCCGGUGAAAUUGAAAUAUCCGUGAAGAUGCGGAUUACCCAUAGCAAGACAGAAAGACCCCGUGGAGCUUUACUGUAGCUUGGCUUUGUUUUUUGGACUAAUUUGUGCAGGAUAGGUGGGAGACUUUGAUGCAUAGUCGUCAGACUAUGUUGAGUCGUCCUUGAGAUACCACCCUGAUUAUUUUGAAAAACUAACUUAUAUCCGUUAUCCGGAUAAAGGACAUAGUCUGGGUAUGCAGUUUGACUGGGGGCGGUCGCCUCCUAAAGAGUAACGGAGGCGCUCAAAGGUUCCCUCAGGACGGUCGGAAAUCGUCUGUAGAGUGUAAGGGCAUAAGGGAGCUUAACUGCGAGACUUACAAGUCGAGCAGAGACGAAAGUCGGACCUAGUGAUCCGGUGACGCCGUAUGGAAGGGUCAUCGCUCAACGGAUAAAAGUUACCCCGGGGAUAACAGGCUUAUCUCCCCCAAGAGUCCACAUCGACGGGGAGGUUUGGCACCUCGAUGUCGGCUCGUCGCAUCCUGGAGCUGUAGUAGGUUCCAAGGGUUGGGCUGUUCGCCCAUUAAAGCGGUACGUGAGCUGGGUUCAGAACGUCGUGAGACAGUUUGGUCCAUAUCUGCUAUGGGCGUAGGAAAUUUGAAAGGAUCUGUUCCUAGUACGAGAGGACCGGAAUGGACGUACCUCUGGUGUACCAGUUAUUCUGCCAAGAGUAAACGCUGGGUAGCUACGUACGGUCGGGAUAACCGCUGAAAGCAUCUAAGUGGGAAACCCACCUUAAGAUAAGAUUUCCCAUCCCCUUGUGGGAGUAAAACCCCUCAGAGAUAAUGAGGUUGAUAGGCUAGGUGUGUAAGCAUAGUAAUAUGUUCAGCUGACUAGUACUAAUUGGUUGAGGUCUUAACAGG